ensembl:lncRNA
UUCUCAUUAGGAGGCUUUUUUUUAUGAAUGAUACUUCUUUGAACUGAGUAAGUAAACCCUGUGUAGCUGCUGACACCAAUGCAGUCCUAACCAGGAAGAGUGCCCAAGCACAGCAGCACCAUACUACCAGGAAAGAAAAAUCCAUGUCUAUUGUGGAAGACCUGGAAAAGAGAGGUGAGGAUGAAGGAGCUGCUGAGUGUGUUCUGGACAACCAGGUGCAAAGUCACCCUGCAUGGGUAGUUCUGUCAGUUGUCCUACACCAGGUUACUUAUCUCUGUUCAUCCAUCUCUGCCCAAAGGUUCCCAGUGCCACAGGCUUAUGGUCUCAACCACAGAGAUAGUCUUUAAGAGGGCAGUUAAUACCUAAUGUCAAAGGUUAAAAAAAAACAAACAAAGGAAAAUAUUAAGUUCUUUAACAUAUAUUAACAUCUUCACAGUUCCUUCUGGCCAGCAAGACUGUAAGAAUACAUUUCCUUAUUUAAACCACAUUGGUAAAAAUCUGAAUUCAGCUCAUACACAAAGAUACCCACAACAGCACUCAAGUCACAACUUUCAGGGCUCCUCGGUUUCUCCCUUUUUUGAAAUGCACAACUGGCAAUUUCCCACACUGAAUAAUUAUUGCAGACAAAAUUGCAAUUUAUGAGGGCCCCUGACGGGAACCACAGUUCAGGCUGUUCCUGUCCAGGCUUCCAUGGACUUCAGUCACCCUUCCCAUGACCCAGGACCCCAUACCACCUGUACUGCUUUCAACUCAUACCCCAGUGAAGCUGCAACAGGGUUGGUUCCCAGCUGCCAAUAGCCCUGUCCUACUCAGCCAUGGUUCUUGCCCUGACAGACCCUGUGGGGAGUGACUGACCCCGCUGUACCCUGAUGGCACAAAACUGAAGAAAACAGUGAGAAGGAAAUUAUUGGCCAUUUUUCAAGGCAGACAAAAGUAAUUGUUUUCAAACUGUGAUACAUUUCUCUCAAAAGUGUCUUUCUUAUAUUGACUUUCAUAUAGUUUUGUGUAAAGAGCUACAGUAGUCUCUUUGAACUACCUACUUAAAAGCAUGUAACUUAAAAAUAAAGCUUUUCUGGAAAGGGAGUGAAAGUUUCCACUCAGUUGUCCUCCAGCCUGCAUCUCAUACUCUGUCUGCAUGUUUCUGUUGUUUUCCUUAUACUGGCAACUUUUUAAUCUUUCAUUUUUAAUUUUCAACAGCCAGAAUUUGAGGAUUGGAAGGAAGACAUGGCUCAGGGAAACUGUUGAAGCUGUGUGGUCUAUCUUUAGCAGCAGCAGAAUGGUUUUAAAAUGACUUAAUCUGCUUGAGGCAUUCUAAGAAACUCCAGAUUUGUGUGUGAUUCUACUAAUAUACACUAAUCAUGAUUCUGUGACUAAAAACGUUCAUGAGAAGAUCACAGGUGACUUAAGGGGAUAUAUUGCAUCAUGGUAAGUGGGUAUAAAUGGAUAAAAAUCACAUAUGUAGAUAUGAAUGCCACAUGAAAGUCAGCGGAGUAGAAAUAGUGCAUGAGUAAGUGGAUUUAUCAUGCUUAUUAAAAAAAACAGAAAUACAUUCCAGGCUGCUAUUGCUCUACCUCUAAAUUAUAGAGCACACAAUACUCACCCUUCUCAAUGUGUAGAAGAAUAAGAGAAUAAGUGUACAGUAACUUCAGAUUGUUUUUUGUUGUUGUUGCUGUUGUUGUUUGUUUUAUUUAUUUAUUAAUAUUUGCAGUGCUGUUUCCUGAUGCUUGAGUUUCCAAAUGUGUGCGGAUAAAGGUAGACUGGUACACAGAGAUUUAGAUUUCAGCAUUCAAGGACCCACAUGGAAGCAAGCUGCAGUUAUCCUUAUGAAUCUAUGUCUUAGUCUUACUGUAGUGCAAAAUUCAUACAUUCUCUUCACCUAUAUUCCAUUCACAACAAUAUAUAUGUAUUGAAAAAAGUUAUGCAAAAACAAAAUGUUCUAAUGUGACUAUGAAACCUUCUGAAUAGUAUCAGAAGCAGAGUUCAUUUUAGUGAGAUGAAAAUUUAGAAAGACCUAAAAAAUUUGCAUUUCUUAUUGUAUUUGUGAAUAUUGCAAAUAAAAUAUCACUGAGUUCGUCAUGGAUGGCCACUGUCAAGAACUAAAAAGUACUAAGAUACAUAAAGAUCCUCAUGGAAAAGUAGGGCAGGGAUGACAGAGAGAAGGGAAGUGCAAUGGUACUUGACACAUUCAGGGCAAGACACUCCUGAUGGACAAUUGCAGUGUCAUUGCCAGCUCAGGAGCAUCUGCUUCAGUCACAUCACAGUCAGUAAAAUACCUCAAUUUCUGUCUUGCUGUUUACUCAUUCAUGUGUGUCAGAAUGCCAAUAGAUAAUCACUGUAUUUUGACGUGGCCUCACAUUUGUUCGAACAGAAAAUCUGAUGCUACAUUGCUGUCUAUAUCAAAAACAAUCUUGUAAAUAUAGCUGUCCCUCAUUUUCAUCCUCCCCAGUUGUUAUCCCUAGCACCAUUGGUGCAGCACAUUUUGUUUUUGUGUUCACUUACAGAAGUUUAAGAUCUAUGGCAGAGGCAAUCAGUAAGUAUUCACAAGAAAAAAAGUUGAAAAUGUAGCAGUGUGCUUUUUGCAGACAGGAUGAUUCACAUAUAUCUUAAUUCAAUUAUACUCAAAUUUAUUUGUUAUACAGUUGACAGCUAGGAAGCUCCUGAUCAUCAGAAUUGAGGCAACAUAUUUAUUCUACUCUGCUUCUCCCUGUACUCCUCUGCUUUUAAUGUCAUUUGAGUCACUGCAGAUUCUUCGUGGAUAUUUGUUGCCCUAUGACUGUUGGCUUCAUAUUCUGCAGGCAGCAGCCAUGCAGCCACUUAAGGUACAUGGAAUAAUACACUACCCUGUUCUCUGGCCGCUGUGGCUCUGCUAGCAAGUAACUGCAGCACAGGAAGACUACUGGGUAGUAUUUACAAAAUAGGUUACUAAUGUUAUUAUGUAUAUACAUAUCUAUGUUUGUGUGCCUAACUUGGCACCCUGCCUUUUUACUAUUUACUGAAUGUGCUUUUGUCUCAAUUAACUGUUUACUUCUGCAGAAUAGUCAUAACUGAAAGUUAAUACAGUGAUAGAGGAAAAAGUAAUCCUUCCUAAUUGGCUGUGGUAAUGUACUUGACUUUUUUUGAAAGCACUUUAUUAUAAGACUUUCACUAUUGGUAAGGAAUCAAAAUAAUCAUUCCCCUCUUUCCUCCUACCCCCGAAGACCUGUAGCUGAUUGUUGUGACAUCACUGCACAUGAAACCCCUGUAUCACUAGUUUUUUAUUCUCUUUAUUAGGAAAAUCACUAGUUUUUUAUUCUCUUUAUUAUCCAUUUGUAAAAUGGAUGUGCUCUCUGUUGUUUCAUACGACAGUUAAGGCCGUUUCAGUGCAGAAUGCUCUUAGCUGAUUAUAAGAAUUACACUCUUUCUGUUCUUCAGUGUAACAAUUAACAAACCUAUAAUAAGAUAGAACAUUCAGCAAGCAAAAUUUCAUAAUGUCUAAAAUAUAAGUCUAUGCAUCAAAUCCAAGCCCUUUUUAUUUAAAGUCAUUUAGCAAUAGCUAUUAUGUAGGAAAAAAAUCUUCAUUUACUUAAAAAGGAAAAAAACCUUAAUUUCCUGAAAAACUGCACUGAAAAAUAAUUGCUUGAAAUGUACACUGUUGUCUGACAAAAAAAAACCUUCUAAUUUGCUUUUGCAGGAUCUUCCUUGAACCAAUCUAGACAGAAAGAUAUCCUUUACUGUUACUGAUGGGAUGGAAUGAGGCCAAGGCUGAUGGAGAGAACACUGACCAGAAUGCUGAGUUUUUUCAUGCAUUUUCAGCGGAAAGAAUAUAAAGCAUCAAAGACUGAGGCCAGAGCCUUCCUUCAGGGUCUUGCUCAACCACUUCUGUGCAACUGGAAUUUUGUUUUUCAGUUUCCUUUUUGGUUCAUACACACAGGCCAUUCUUCUCACUUAGAAGUUAAAAUCUAUCUGUUUGGAAAAUACUUUAGUGGCAGAAGCAGACUCCAGGCAGCAGAGCACAGGGUUCAGGCCUCAUCAGUGUGGUAGUGUCUGAACUUUCAACUCUUUCAUUGCCAAUGGCUAUUUUAUAUGAGUAAAUUGUAUGCAGCAGGACCACAAAAGUAAGUGGUGUGGUAUACUUCACUGCAUUAUGAUGGAAGCCUCAAUUUGGUUUCAUUCAUUUAGUUUAACUGGAACAAAUUCUGGCUUAGUUAUUUCUUGAAUCAUCUGGACAUAUUAGUUGGUAUGGGCCAAAUCAAUGCUGAAAGCAGGUUGAUGACUGAACAGAAUAGAUGAAAAAGUGCUAGUAUUAGACCAUAUGCCUUGGUCCUCCUAAAUUUAUUGGAAUAGACAUAACCAAUAAAUACCAUGAUAACAGGAUUAUGGGAUACUCUGUCUUCCACAUUCUUCCAUUUGUAGCUGAGCCAUGUUUGCAGAAAGUAAUAAUUGAUUCAGAAGCCCAGACACAGUGCAAGUGAAAGGUAAGUGACUUCCUCAGCAGUGUAAAGCAUUCCACAAAUAAAAAGAAAAUCAAACGUGAGAUUCUCAUUUGCUGGGCAAGUGCUCUAUAUGCAACAUAGAACAAGAAUACAUCAUUUCCAUUUCCUUCCUUCUCAUUAUUUCAAAGAGAGUAAGAACUUCUUAUUUCUUUGAAAGUAUGUUUUACUCUGUGGAUUCAAAAUGGAUGCAGUCACCUCCAUCUUGGUUUUGAAGAUGCCCAAAACUCUACAGACUUAUUAUAGCCUUACAGUCCAAGUCACAUACAUUUUAAUAGGCUCUUCAUAAUCAUUUGUACUGCAGAGUUUGUACUGCAUUCACCAGAACUGAUGAGAGGUAAUCACUGAGAUAAGGCACUUUCUGAUAUUCCAAUUAUAAUUUCAAUGAUAAUAAGAAGCAAAGAAUUCUUGAAAGAUAUUAUUUAUAAAAAUUUCUUCCCAUCCUUCUAUAAUGAAAUAGCUUUUAAAAAAAUCUUUAUAGGCAUUUGCUAACUCUAGAGGUGUGACAACUUUCUGAGAUAAACAAACAGGUUUGUUUUAGGCAAUGAACACCACAAAGACAUAAUAACACAUACACAGCGUGCAGUAAAGCAGAAUGCAACCAUUUAAACUCCACCUAAAAUCAACAUAACACGUGACUCCAAAUUAUUUAAUCUACACAGAUGUUGUAAAUCAUAUUCAUUAUUUAAUUAUAAUAGGAAAAAUUACUGUCACACAGUUUUGCAAAGUGUAGGCAGCUCUCUUUUACUACUUUGUUAAAUAUAUUGCCCACUAGGUGGGGGUAGCUAACCUUAUUCAAAGGAUGAUACUCUGAGAAGAAAAUUUAGUCAAAAAAUGGAAUAAAAACCACAUUAAAACUUAAGGGCUUUUUUUUCUUAUUACUUUUUCCUCUUUACUGUCAUAAAAUGAGAUUAAUUACUGUUUGUUAACUAUUGAGCUUUGUAAGUGAUAAUAAAUGGAGGUCACUGGCAAUUAUGUUUAAUUUGAGCUGAUGGGGAACUACAGCAUUGAACUUUCAGUAUUACAAGUCAGGAUAUUCCUGUACCACUACAAAACAACUAUUUUCCUGGAAAAUAAAGAAUGAAGACAAAGCUUUCAUCCUUUGGCAACAAAUCAUUA